GGGAAGAACUUUUUCUCACGGUGACUGGCUCGGACUCGGUCGGUGAUGCGUAUCAUCAUUCAGUCUCUGAAGGAAAACGCAUGGACAGUAGCAGCUGCAUCAAGAGGACGCGAUUUUUCAACAUUCAUGUCCAGCUUUGCUCAGCGGUGGUUUGUGAGCGUGGAGGGCUAGGUUGUCAGUGAGGGAGUGUCCUUUGUGCUGGGGCUUGCUGUUCUAAUGUCAACUUUCUACAACUUUAACCUGCAAUACCAGGACUAUGCUGCAUGGUCGUUGGAGUUCAUUCAGAGAAUCUGCAUGGGGAUUAAUCCUGAGAGAGGAUCAAAGGCAUACAGUGGACAGGCACCCAGCAGAAAAACUGGAAAGAUGGUCCAGAAGAAACCAUCAACAGUGAACCUGCAUGUCUGCACCCUAAUCAGGAAGCUCAACGACUUCAAGUGGGACUUUGUUUGAUCUUCUCUCAUAGCAUUGUAUUGUUUAGGUGCAGAUACCAUUUGUCAAUUAUCAAUGAACAAUAUAUGCCGAUAAAUACUGAUCGAUUUUGUGUUGUUUAGUUUAGUUAUUGCAGCUGAUAGAGCUGUAUUAUUGUAUUGGCCAGUUUCCCUGUUUGCAGUGUAUUGGGAUCGUGACUGGCUAUAUAAUGGUGUGUGACUCCAUGGAGCUCAACAGGGACUUCUCACUUUUUUUUUUACGGUGGUUCCAGAAGUGUUUCAUUGACAUUUCAAAAAUUGCUCAUAUAUAGGUUUAAC